CCAAUUUCUAAGUGCCAAGAGAAAACACUUUUCACACAAAGAAUUGCAGCAAACUGAAGUUUUAAGGGUCUGUAGUGUUUGGCAUUAACCCUAUUAGAAUCCUGCUUACCACAGUCAAGUAAAACCUUUCCAUCAUCACAUCGCAGGCAGGUAGAACAAGGCAUUGGAUGUCAAGGACUCCUUUUACUCAUCAAAACUCUUCAAAAUGGGUUCACAUAAACAAAAGAGACAUCACUUCGAACACCAUAAC